UACGUAGGGGGCAAUCGUUGUCCGGAUUUAUUGGGCGUAAAGAGCGUGUAGGCGGCCAGACAGGUCCGUUGUGAAAACUAGAGGCUUAACCUCUAGACGUCGAUGGAAACCGUCUGGCUAGAGUCCGGAAGAGGAGAAUGGAAUUCCUGGUGUAGCGGUGAAAUGCGCAGAUAUCAGGAAGAACACCCGUGGCUAAGGCGGUUCUCUAGUACGGUACUGACGCUGAGACGCGAAAGCGUGGGGAGCGAACAGG
rnacentral:rRNA from 1 species